rnacentral:rRNA from 1 species
UACGUAGGGGGCAAGCGUUGUCCGGAUUCAUUGGGCGUAAAGAGCGCGUAGGCGGCCAGGUAGGUCGGUUGUGAAAACUGGAGGCUCAACCUUCAGAGGUCGACCGAAACCAUCUGGCUAGAGUCCGGGAGAGGAGAGUGGAAUUCCUGGUGUAGCGGUGAAAUGCGCAGAUAUCAGGAAGAACACCCGUGGCGAAAGCGGCUCUCUGGAACGGUACUGACGCUGAGGCGCGAAAGCGUGGGGAGCGAACAGG